rnacentral:rRNA from 1 species
GACGUAGGGCGCGAGCGUUGUCCGGAUUUAUUGGGCGUAAAGAGCUCGUAGGCGGCUUGUCGCGUCGUCCGUGAAAACCUGCGGCUCAACUGCAGGCUGGCGGUCGAUACGGGCGGGCUGGAGUUCGGUAGGGGAGACUGGAAUUCCUGGUGUAGCGGUGAAAUGCGCAGAUAUCAGGAGGAACACCGGUGGCGAAGGCGGGUCUCUGGGCCGAUACUGACGCUGAGGAGCGAAAGCGUGGGGAGCGAACAGG